AGCAGCAUGGCUCUGCCCCAGGAGAACCAGCAGCACAUGGAGGAGGAGGAAAAACAGCAGUAUUCUGAAUGAGUAUGAGGACUAUCAGCAGGAUGAGAAAUUUAAUUUAGGUUCACAGUCACUUAUCUAAUACAAAGUAAAGAUGAAGUCUUAGACAAGCUGCAAGACUAUGUAUCCAUGACCAGAAACAGAUUCAAGAGGAAUAUGCUAACCUUCCACAGCAACAACGGAGGUGAGUUCACAGGACAGAAAAUGGAACUGUACUUAAGAGGACUCGGCAUAGAGCAUCAGAAGACAAUACCGUACACACCAGAGCAAAACGGUGUAUCUGAAAGGAAAAACAGAUCGUUAACAGAAAUGAUAAGAUGUAUGCUUACAGAUUCAGGACUACCUGAUAAAUAUUGGGGUGAAACAGCAAUGACAGCCACUUAUGUUCAAAAUAGACUACUCUCCAAAGCAGUAGGGAAAACACCUUUUGAGCUAUGGCAUGGUAAGAAACCCAGCCUUAAGCACAUCAGAGUUUUUGGAUGCAAAGCCUUCACCUACAUUCCAGCAGAAAAAUGGAACAAGUUGUUAACGUACGAGAACCUACAUCAUGGGAAGAAAUUGCUACCUUUACAGAAAGAGAAGCACAGAAAUGGCUAAGAGCCGCAAAGGAAGAAAUGGAAUCAAUGAAAGACAACCAAAUAUGGACGUUGACCAAACUACCAACAGAUAAAAAGACCAUAGGAUGUAAAUAGACUUUUAAGGUCAAGUAUGAUACUGAAGGAAAAGUAGAAAGAUACAAGGCAAGAUUAGUUGCUAAAGGAUAUUCACAGACAUUUGGAGAAGACUAUGAUGAAACAUUUGCUCCAGUUGUGAAGCACACCACCAUUAGAACCUUACUUCUAACAGCAGCCAUAAAAGGUACGCAGGUGAAACAUUUUGACGUGAAGACAGCUUUCUUACAUGGCGAAAUAAAGGAAGACAUAUACAUGGAACAACCACCAGGUUUUGUGAAUUCUCAAGAACCAGAUCAUGUAUGUACGCUUAACAAAAGCAUAUACGGCCUAAAGCAAGCAGCAAGAUCAUGGAAUACAAAGAUAAAUUAAGUCUUGAUGGAGAAGAGGUUCAUCAGAAGUACAGCAGACUCCUGUCUUUAUACAAAGUUAAUAGAAGAAAGAUGGAUCUGUGUAUUAAUUUCCAUGGACGAUUUGCUAGUUUGUUUCGAACAAGAAGGAGAUGAAAUUGAACUACUACAAGAACUAAACAGUCAAUUUGAAACAAAAGAUCUAGGUCACAUAACGCAUUAUUUGGAAAUGCAAAUCUCAAAAGAAGAUGAUGGAACAUUCACAUUAAAUCAGAAAUGCAAGACUCAGGAAACCAUUGAUGAGUUCAAUAUGCAAGAUGCAAAGACAGCAACCACUCCUAUGGAGACAAGUUAUGUAAAGGAAUCAAAUGAUCAGAGUGAACUGUUACAAGAUAAUCAUCUAUACAGAAAAGCUACAGGGAAAUUGUUGUACAUUGCGACUGUCACCAGACCAGACCAGACAUUUCCACAGCAGUUGGGAUCCUAAGCAGAAAGGUUUCCAAACCAACACAGAUGGACUGGAACACAGUUAAGAGAGUAAUUCAUUAUUUAAAAGGAACGAUUAUCAAGAUGCUUAAACUCUCAGCAAGCACAAGUCACAAGUUAACAGGACAUGUUGACUCAGACUGGGCUGGAAACACAAAUGACAGAAAAUCCAUACGUGGAUAUUUAUUCUCAAUCGGAGAAGGAAUAAUCAGUUGGACAAGCAAGAAACAGUCUUUCAUAGCAUUGUCAUCUACAGAGGCUGAAUAUAUCACGGCAGCUCACGUUAGUCAAGGUGUGGUCUUUAGUUUGCCGGCUGUCAGGGUCCCGGCGCACAGUAUACCGGUGCCGGAAUCCCAACAGCUGGCAUGCUGACACCGUUUCUCCCUCUUGGGGGUCCACAACCCCCCUGGAGGGAGAAUAGAUAGCGUGGCGUGCAUAACAUGCUACUGCGCGCGCAGCGUGGUGAGCACAGCGAGCCCACAAGGGGCUCAUUUGCAGCAAAUGUGUAGGGAGCACUAUGUGUGUCAUUAUGCGUAUAGAGGCAUUAAUAAUGUGCAGCAUAUGUGUAAGGGACAUUAUGUGUAAAAGGGCAUUAAUAAAGGUUGUCAUAAUGUGUAAGGCGCAUUAUGUUUAUAAGGACAUUAAUAAUGUGUCUCAUAUGUGUGAGGGGCAUUACUGUGUGGCAUUAUGUGAAUAAGGUGCUCUACUAUGUGGCAUUGCGUAUAGAAAGGGCACUACUGUGUUGUCUAAUGUGAAUAAAGAGCAGUAGGGUGUGGUGUAAUGUGAAUAAGGAGCAAUUCAGUGUGAUGUAAUGUGAAUAUGGGGCUCUACUGUGAGGAGUAACGUUUAUUAGGUAAAGUGAUACUACUGUGGGAUGUAAUAUGAAUUAUGGACACUAUCGCAUGAUCAAAUGUGAAUAAAGUUGCAGUACUGUGUGGCAUAA